GGGGGACAAGAGAUGGCCCAGGACUUCAAAGCGGACGCACUGCUGGACGGCGGGGAGGGCUUUCUUCUUCCCCUCGCUCCUUUUCAGCGCGGCUCCUGCUGGCUGCGGAGGGGCUCCUAAUUGCAUUUCACAGAGCCCCAACAAAACGCAGGCUGCUCUCCCAGCCAGCGCUGACCCCUCAGCACGCGGGAUAUCAUUUGCAGUUUCAUGCCGGGAACAAGAAAGGUUCCUCACGUCGGCGAGCCUGCAAAGGGUUAGCCGUGCAUCCAUCUGCCCACGCUGCCCAACACCAGGCCUGACAAGCAGAGUCCAUCCACACUCGUACUGCCUGAUCUCCCUAUGGCUGCUCACAUUGGGAUCACACCCGGCACGAGAUGCGACCCAUCGAGCUUCUGUGACCUAAGUAACAACUCACCCCACCUCACAUCCCUGUGUACACCAAACAGGCCUGUGUCCUAACAGGAGUAUACAUAUUUACUAACUGACAAUAGUGGAAAGCCUCAUAUUCACAUCUGUAUUAUAAUAAAUGCAUUAUAAAUGAGUAAGUAGGAAACAGUAAGGAAAUGAUGUUUUACUUUUAAAUGCUAAUUAUGGAGCCCUGGUGCAGUUAAUGUGUAGGGUGUUCUGUCAAUUUUUAAUGUUUAUGCCAAGUGUAGUCUUCAAUUUAACAUGAGCUUUUAAUCCUUUGAGUACUAAAUUGCCUUUUAAUGCUUGCAGCACAACAUUGUGUUUGCACAAAGUCAAGUCUGAAAAAUGAACACACUACAAGAGAUGUGCAUGUAUGGAGGGGGGGGGAGCACAAAGGACAAGAUUUUUUUUUUUAAUGAUGAUGUUGGAACAGUACAAGAGGAAGGGAGUGCCUUCAGGAUGUACCUGGCAAUUGUUUGCAGUGGCAAAAAGCUGAAGCACUGAUGGUGAUUUAUUAUCUUGGUUGAAGCAUUUUCAGUCUUGAACAGAAAAAAGCGGUACCAAAAAUUCAUGGUUAACACCCAGAAAGGGACCUUUGAGGUGCAAGGAAUUACCACAAGGAGCUAUGUGCGUGCUCAGUGUGACACAAGUGCUUAGAAGGAAAGAGUUUUCAGCCGACAGUACUUCAAUGAAAUGCACGGAACAACGCUGCUCCUCAAAGAGCUGCACAGUGUGCUGCAGUGCAACAUUCUGGGGCAGUUUGUUUGGUUGUGCCUUUUCAGGCUGGUUAUGAUGCCCGGUGCAGCUCAGGUCUGAGCCCCAGCCUGCUGCAGUUCAUAGCAUGGUUACAACACACAGCACGUAGGUGCCUCCUAAUACAGCCCAGUGCAAGUUUGCUUCCCCAGUCUGCUCCUAAGCAAACCAGUGCCCAAGCAGACAUGCAGAGCUGGCUCUGGAUGCCUUUGUCCCAUUGGGAUGGCCCAGAUGCUCUGGGCAUGCUGACCCCACAGCAGCUCAGGCAGGGACCUGGCCAAACCUCAAUCCCAUCCCUGCCCUCUCGUUCCCAGCAGCUCCCACCUCCCCUCCUUUGCACACAAUAGGACGUAAGGGAGCUAGGCACAGGUGCAGUCCCAGUGCCACGUCUGGUUCAUUAGCGUAUCUCGGCAUCUUGCUUUGUUCCACUGCCAUAUCUUGAUGUUAUCUAAAGCUUUUUAUGCAGUAAGAAAGAGAUUACAAGGUUUAUAAUUUCCCUCAUACACGUAACAAAAAUAAUAAAGCAUGAAAUUGCGGAGCUGUGACUGAUUUCCUACAGAAGUUCAGCAGCUUCCAGCAGGCUACAGCAGGAUGUGCCUGGUGAGGUCUGUCUGUAAGCAUCCAUGUGUACAUGCAUACCAUUCUGAACUUCCACAUGUAUGUUAUACAUGUUAAAUGCAUGACACUAGGGUGAAAAGCUAUAAUAUUAAAGCAUCCACAUAACUCUUCUGAGAGGACACAGCCUGUUUGCAGUAGGCUUGGAAUGCCACUGGAGUUCUGUGCAACACCAGACAAUUCUUUAAUGGGUCCUGUUUGGAUCUGUUUACCCACAUCUGUGAAAUUGAGUGUGGGGGAUAAAUACUCAGCAGGGCACUUCUGGUUCUUUGUGCACCUGCUCAGGAGGAAAGCACCAACCCAGCAGCUCUACUCCCAGGCUAAAGCAUCGCUGGCCAGGAUACAGCCCCAGCAGCCCCAGCUGGGUGGCUGGGCUUCACUGGCUGGGCUUCACCCAAGCACCACGCUGUGCUCCUGGAUGCAUGGGAAAUGAGCAAACCUCAGCACUGUCCAGAACUGGUGAGAUCAGACCGCCGUUGCUCCAAGAACACCGUCAGACAAGGCAAUGCAGCUAAUGGCAACGGAGCUGCACUCCUUCUGACAUCCCACUGAAGACCAAAUGGAAUUAAAUAUAUGAGGUAGUUGUGCCACGACGCCUACUGUGAUGGCCACAUCCCACAGUACUGGAGGGAGCCUGACUGGUACCACCACACACUGUUAAGGUUCUAUGUUUUACAAAUCCACAUUUACUUGAAUGCAUGUGUAAAUAUUCUCAGAGUAUUCCAACUGCAUACGCCAGCAUGGCAGUAUCUUUCUAUAGCUGUGAAUUUCAUGGAAUCAUUUUUGUUGCCCCAGCUUUGAAUGAAAUAUCAAUACAGUCCAUCAGAAAUACAACAGGCAUUGGCAGAGCCAGGCUACAGCAGCAGAGCAAGCCUGUGUUUCCUGAAGACUUUUCACCCAUCAACUUAUUGUAGUGAAUACAGUAUGGGAACGUAAAUCUCAUAAUGUCAGAUUUUGAUCUCCUUUAUUUUAGUGCAAAUCCUGUGUCUGAGAGUGGCGAGGGGAUCACCGGAGAGCCUGCUGGAAACCCAGCUUCCUCUGUGCCAGCCUUGCACGCAGGCUGUAAGCCUUUCAAUUUCCUCAUAAAAACUGUCAUUGGGAAAUUUCAAUGCUGCUUUUUGUUGCCGCUGCAUCGCCUAAGAGCCUUAGUUAUGAACUUAGCUCCUCGAUGUCUAAAAUAAAAAGGCAGCCCCUGUCUCAGAGUUGCAUUUUAUACACACUAAAACAUUCAUUGCCUUGCUGAAUCCGGGCUAAUGCAUGGCGCUCAGCUCCUAAAAGGGUUCACAGGAGGAAAAAAAAAGAGUAAACAAAUAAAUUAAACCCUAAUGCUACGUGCAAAUUAAAUACACACAGUGCUUUAACUA